ensembl:lncRNA
CCUAGGUAUUGAGCCUGAGCCAGUGCGUUUCUGUAGUAAAUAUGUGUGAAUGUGCUGAGUGUUUGAGUAUUGAUUCAUUUAUGUACCUGUUUGGCUUUUGCUGUGCAGGGCUUUGUACUUUGCAGCUUUAGAGCCAAGCUGGCUUUCACAGAAGCCAGUGUCAGAAUGUACCAGAUUGUACAGCGUGAAUCAUCUGGCUCAAUGGCCUCUGGGGAGGGGGGCUGGCUUUGUACAGCACGGCAAGGAGUAGCCACAAAGACACCGGUGGAGGGGAAGAGCCCAGGGGGUGAGCGGGCUGCACAGGUGGCUCUACUGCUUUAGCUGAUGAAAUAAGAAGGCGCCUCAGAGACAUCUAUGCUUUGCUGGACUGUCUUCUUUCCUUCAGGAGCCCCAGGAUGUAAACACGUAAACGACUAUUCAAGGCCAGGUUCCCUGAGAGCCUCAACUGGAGUUCCUCUCCCUGGGGAAGUGAUGAUAAUGACUUUUUCUUUGGCAAAUCCCUUUCUAUCCUUAUCUCCUUGCAGGAUUGUACAACCCUUCUGUCCAGUGGCCCUGGGAACUUCUAGGACUUCCUGAGCCUGUUUUUGCCUAUUUAUUGUGCUGUUUCCUCUGGAAGCUGCUUCAACACUUAAUCUGGUGAAUGCUGGGGUCAAAGGAAGUGCGUAGACUUGACCCAGGCUCUGCAUCCCUCCUCUAGUGCCCCACGCUCUCUCUGGAUCCUAGUCAUACCAGCCAUCUCCAGGCCCUCCAGGAUCCUUUGCUUCUGCCCUCCUCAUAAGGAUAGAGUAAAGGGGCAAAGUAGGUGAUUAAAUAGUUAAUCCCACUAGGGUAUUGUAAGUAGAAAAAAAAAAUAACUUACAGGUUAUUGAUUUACAUUAAUGGUUAGUAAAUUAAUGGUUACUCAGGAAAGCAGGUUUGCUUAACUACAAAACCAGGCAGGCCUGCUUAGCAACAAAACCAUACAACAGAAACAUGAGACAUGACCCCAAACAAUAAAACAGUGGUGGCUUAAGACCCA